CAAUUCUUAUUCCCAAAACCUAAUUAUAUUAAUAAAACUCCCACCCCCCAGUCGCCGACACUCCACCCCACCACACCCCUACCCCUCCCGCCGCUGACGCCCCAUCCCCACCACUGCCUGUCCUCCGUCGCCGCCGUUGCUGUCCACCGCCACUAAAGGCUGUGGGAGCAUCAAGAGCUACUGGAGGAGAAUACCCUAAGAGAAUCGGUCAAUCCGUGAUGAUAACUGGAAGAAACUGCUGCACUUCUGGGCAACUGAUCCGACGUUUUUAAAGCAAAGCGAAAAUGGGAAGAAGGACAGGGCCUCAGCUAAGGGUGGAUUUCGACACACUAGUGGGGCCACCAGCCAUGAGGACGUUAGGAUGAAGCUGACGCUCGAGAGGGGUCAGGAAGUACCUCAAGAUGAAGUCUUCAAGAUUACUCACACGAGGAAGGCGAAGAACGUAGUUCAUGCUCUUGUUGAUGAGGAUAGUGGGGAGGAAUCGGAUCAUGUCUCUAUGGUUGUAGAAAGUAGUUUAUGGUUGUUUAACUUUACGAUGUUCAAGUGUUUGAAUGUAGUUUUAAGGAUAUUUAGAAGAACUUGAGGUUGAAUUUGAUUUUAGAAUGUGAAGUUUAUGAUUGCAGAAGUACUUUGAUGAAUUGGACGUGUUGAUGAA